rnacentral:lncRNA from 1 species
AGGGACUGGCAGGACUGCUCCAUGGUGGUGGCACACUUCCCUUGUCUGGCAGGGCUUGCCCUGGCACUCCUGCCCUGCAGAGCUUGUCCCAAGGGUGGGAAGUGCUGGCUGGCUUGCUUUGCUGGAAUGCAGUGCUUCCUGAGGGAAGGUGGGACUAGCUUACUCGCUCUGAGGCAAAGGAGCACUUCCCCAGGGGAGGCAGGACUUGCAGGUCCACACCGCGAUGGAGGCAGAUUUCCCAAAGGCUGGGCAAAGCUUGCCCUGGUGCUUCUGGGCCAUGGAGCAUUUCCAGGGGGUGGGCCGUGCUGGGCGGCUGCUCCACAGCACCUCCAGAGGCUGGCAGGCCAGGCCAUGGAAAGCCCCAGAGGUGGAUUCCUGCGAGUGGCAAGGCCAGUCCUCCAGGAUGGCAGGUGGCCUCUGGCCAUGAGUGCAGGGGUUGAGGGAGGGGGUAUGCACUGGGAAGAACUGCUGAUAGCUGGCGGGCAAGCACGCUCGCUGGGGUGCAAGGAGUAUUCUAUGGCAGCCCGGCCUUCCUCCUCUCCCCUCCCCAACACUGGUGCCUUGUCUCUCCUGUGGGUCCAGACCUUCUCCCAGGUUCCCUCUGCUGUGGCUUUCCACUCCCCAGCUCUUAGCGUAUUGCUACCUCCACUCCCUCCGUGACACACCACUUCCUAGUCCCUCGGGCUGUCUCCACACCACCAACCCCAGCCUACUCCCAGGGUCUAACUUCCGGAGCCAAGGUCUUAGUGCCCAGCCCCCACCCAAGCGUCUUGGUUUUUGGUGACUGUGCCAGUGGUUCAGAUGAUCUGUGUGGCUCUCACUCUGCUUUUCAGAUCUCAGACCUACUGUUGCGCUUUUCUCGACGUCUGGAGAUCCCUCUGACUCAGUUGAUCUUUCCAUCAAUUAAGUGACUUUCCAGGGUGUGGGUUCCCUUUCUCCUUCAUAUUCCCUUUCGGGAGUGCCAGUCCAGUCCUGAUUCCCCUUCUCUCACUCUCCUCUGUUCUCUUGUUUUACCCAGUUAUGUCAUGAGAUUCUUGCCAUUUUUGGAGGUUUAAAUUCUUAUGCCAGUAUUCAGUUGCUGUUCUGUGUGAAUUGUUUAACAUGUAGAAUUUUUUUUUUGUGGUGUUUGUGGGAGACGGUAACACAUCCCCCUUCUCUUCUACCAUCUUGCCUUUAUCCAUGUUUUUCUUAUUGCAAGAAAAUACAACUUUUCUUCAAAGGGAAGAGCAUGUGUCCAAUGCACAAUUACUCAUUUCUGCAAGUCUCUCUCCCACAUAUAACACCCCCAUCCAUUUUUUACAGGGAAAGACCUAUCUUACUAAAAUGCAUAUCUAUCAUGUAAUUCUCAUUUAUAAAACAGGUCAAUGAUUCUGCAUUUUCUAAAAGUUAUGGAGCUGGCAUAAAGACUCAUUUCCUAUGAUACCCUCCAUUCAUGUUAUAGUCAUUGAUACUGAACUGCAUACCUUUACCUAGAAUGGCCAGCUCCUCUAUUCUGCCUAAUAAACUUCUCAUUUUUCAGAAUUCACUUCCAACUCCACUUCCUCUUUUGGACCUUAAUUCUCCUAAGAAUUAGAUACUCACCUAGCACUUUAGUUAUCUCUUGCAGCAUACUAAUACCUUCUAUUAAUUUUUAUUUUGUUCUUUCUCUCUGUCUUUCAAGAUCUCGAUUUGUUGUAUAUUUCCUGACACAUAGAUAUAUCAAAAAUGUUUGCUGUACAGAAUAUAAUACAUUACAAACAACAGAUUCUAUAUGCAUAUCUGUUAACUCAAUGACCAGGGGCAUAAGUCCUCAGGGAGAGAGAAAAUCAUAUAGUGAAAAGUUAGAUGUUGAUAUAGUCAUCAAAACAGAAAAGGAAAUUCUUGAUUGAAAGGAUGUGAAAAUCAGUUACUGCUAGUCUUCCUGAAAACAAAAAUAAAUGCUGUAGAGAAUCUAGAAGCUUGGCUAGCAGUGGCCAUACCACACAAUACCAUGCUUAUGUGCCUCCCUCUAUUCUAUUCCUUUUUGACCUGCCUUGAACUGGCCCACUCUAUUUUUUAAAUUUUUUUAUAUAAUGUUUUUUUAUUUUUUUCAUUAUAGCUGGUUUACAGUGUUCUGUCAAUUAUUAAGCUAUAACCUUACUGAGCAAAUUCUUCUAUCCAUGUGAUUCAUUUCUUUACUGUAUAUAUCACUCUGUGUGUGUGUGUGUGUGUGUGUGUGCAUGCUGGUAUUUAAUGAUUGGAGAAAGGUGGAAAGUUUAUAAUAAAAAUCUAUAAGCUGUCUUUGAUUGUGCCUGAUGAAGGGCAGUGAUUGAAAAUUAAAAACUUUAUGACAAAUGAUGCCUUCAUUGUCAACAGAGAAGUUUUUCCUAUAACAAUGUUUGGAGAUCAGUGCUGCUAAAUAGCUCUCAUUUGGCACCAUAUUCUACAACUUACAUAUUUUAUUAGAUAAUUUGAUCCAUUUGAAUCUCUUCAAUUAACAAAAAAAUUACCAAGAAUAGUUUUCACUUUUCUUAAUUUCCUCCAAAGGAUUUAGCCCAGUUUUCAUCAUUAGGUAGUUACGCAAUUGAAUUAAUCUAACACAAUUUAGUUUGUUUAGACUUAAUUCUAUGGGUUCACUUUGAGAGUGCUUCUUAAACUAAGCUAAACAAUGAAUGAAGUAUUUGAAAUAAGAAAAACACUGUAUUAAUUGAUUAAUCCAUGAAUUUAUCUAAAAAUACUUUACAGGAUAACAAGAAGUAUAAAUGAGGAGCUUAUAAUUAGAAGUAAGCUAAUUUGUUUGAUGAAUAUAAGGAAUUCCAAAACAUAACAUCCCGAUUUUCAAGACUGUCUACAUUCACAAAGUGAAUCCAUGAAAUUGCUAUGUGAAACAUGCAGUUAACGUGAUUUACUUUUAUUAUUUAUAAUAUCAAUUGAUAAUUAACGAUUCUAUGGCUGAUUAUAAGUAUCACCAUAGAAUCGCUUUUAGAUCCUAAUUUUGACAUAAACAUGAACACUAAGAUAGCAACAUGUUACUAAAAUAUAUUACUUGAUUCCUCCCUAGAAUCUUUAAUUGCCUUAAUUAAGUUAGUGGCUGCAAUAUUUGGAAUUAAGGUUUAUUUUUGUAGACAGUACUACAAAAGAAGUUGGUAAUCAAUAAUAUAUUAGGAUUUGUUUUGUGAUAAUCCUGGAAAAGAUGACUGACUGCAAGGUAAAGACAACAGAAGGGCUUCUCUGCAAGAGAAAAAAUAAAAAUGCUAAAGAAUUAUUAAGGCAAAGCAAACAGACAGAAUUUCUCCAUCCCUUACUCAUUUUUUUAUUUGAUUGUUAUUACCCUGACAACUGGCUCAAUACAUCAGCCUCUGUUUGGCAUAGAAAUAUUUUGGAUAGUAAAUGAACUGGGUAUGUGCUUCAUAACUGAGCAUGAAUCAUUGCCUUUGCAAUAGCCAAAUCUUUGAAGACAGCUGUUGAGACAAUUUCAACUAAUGGUAAUUUUUAAAAAAUCCUAAGUACUAAUUUACAGUGUGUCUAAAGUAGAGAAUUAAACUACUUAUUAUCUUCAGUAACUUAUCCCUUUAGGGUGAGCAAGAAGCAAUAAUUGUUUCUAGUGCAACUUAUGGUGAUUUUUAAAAUAAAACAUUAGACGACUAAGCACUGUUCUUCACUCCCUUAAAUACUGGAUACAAAGCUCUGUUAGUAUCAGCCUUACCAAAGGUUUUAAUCAAUAAUUCAUAGGAUUUUGGCAAAGAAUUCAAUUGACAAUUAAUAUUUUUCACUGAAUUAUCUAUAACUUUUAUUAGAAUGAAAAUUAAAAUAGGAAUUGUACAGUAGAAGCUGUUUUUCUGUCACAGCACAUCACUGGGAGAGGUGAAAAGGACAGCUGAGGAUUUUUCCAUCCUCCUUGAUUUAACCUAUGUAAACUUUUGUUUCCUCACUGGAUGGAUGAUUUACAAUAAGGAGGAGUUGAACAGGUGAGAAAGAAUAUGGAGAACAGUGGGAAAUAAUGUUUCCACAUCUCUUUCCAUGAAAGAAAAAAAAAAAGCCUAUAUAAAGUCCAGAAGAAUCAUUAAAUGGGCCUCAUUUUGCACGCUGUGAUUUUUUUUUUCUUAUGGAUAUAGUCAAUAAAGAUAUUUCCUCAUUACCCCAUAUAUCUAAUCUGGUUGAAGUUUUCUAAUGAUGCCUACAGCUCAGUUCUAUGGAGGUAUACAAAAAUUCUAUGAUUGUUGGAAGGAAAAAAUCCCCAUUAUUUUUUUCUGUCCAAGACUAAUUCCUUAGUUGGCUAAUUUGUCCUUGCAGUAAAAACAAAUAUUUGAAAUUCAACUUAUACAGCCAAACAAAUAUUUAAAUUUAGAGCAUAGAAACAGAUAAAUAGUUUUCCAAUUACCACCUAAGCACAAAUUGUUAGAAAUUUAGUGGGAAAAAAAACUUAUGUUCAUAAAUAAGACAAAAUUAUUAUAUAACACUAAGCUAAAAUAUCCAGUAUAAAUUAUAUCAUAGUCAUUCAGAUGUCAAUCAAAACCCCUCCAAAUACAAAAUUUAUGACUUCCAGGCACAACACUGUAAAUCAACUAUACUUUUAAAAAUUCAAAUUUAUGACUUCCUAUUUCCAUAUGCACUGGAAAUAAAGUUGAUAUAUUCCUUUGUUUGUAAAAAUACAAACAAAGUUUCCAAAAAGAAAGCACAAGGCCCAUAUAUGUUCACUGGUGAACUAUAUCAGACAAUUCAAAACAAAAUUAUGCCAACUAUCUAAAAUCUCUGCAAAAGACAGAAGCAGAGGGAAUAUUUCCUAGCUCAUUCUAUGAAACAGCAUCACCCUAAUACAAAUACCAGAUAAAUACCCU